rnacentral:tRNA from 1 species
GCUUCCAUCGUCUAGUUGGUUAGGACGUGGCCCUCUCACGGCCGAAACAGGAGUUCGAAUCUCCUUGGAAGUACCA